ACCGAAAGUAAAAAUAACCCCAUUACACGCCUGAGGAGGAUGUGGAGAAGAAAGGGAAUUCAUCAAAAGGAAGGCGAAGAAAAGAAAAAAUGAAAUGAAAAGAAGGAAGAGAAAGGAAAUGAGAGGCGGAAAAAAAAAAGAACGGGGGAAAAAAAGACAACUUUUUGAAACUGGAAUUAAAACCCGAGAUUAUCGAAGUGUCUCGCGGACCCGGGAGCGGGGGCUCGGAGCGCCGAAAGCCCCCUCCGAGUACCGGGAGGCAGCAGGACCGCCAGCAGCAUCACCCUGCGCCGGGGCGCGAGCACGUCGUGCCGAACCUCGGGGAGCCGCCGCCGAGCCCGCUCGCGCCUUCCUCCUCCUCCUCCUCCUCGCUCGCGACACCAGUCCCAGGCGGCACGUGCGGAGCUGUGGGCUCUGGUGGGAGCCGAGCUGGGAGCCGCCGGUGAAGAAUGCGAGGCUGGAAGAAAAAAGAAGAAAAGAAAGAAAGAAAGCCCUCAAAGCCAGGAAAUCUGUGUUAAUUGCUUAUGAGUGUCUCUGUCUAAAAAAUUAUCGAAUUGAUGUUGUCGUGCUUUUUUUUGACAGCCUGUCUGUUACAUUUUUUUAAAAUAUUCAUGCACCGAAAUCUAAUUACUAGGCAAAUUUAAUGAUAAUGAAAUGAAGGCACUUUAGCAGAAAGCACGGGGCCUUGUUAAUGUUUUCUCAGCCUCUGUCUUGUUCGUAUUUUUAAAUUUUUUUUUUACAACUGCCUUUCUUGCAUUAAAAAAAAAAAAAAAGGAUUGCCGAAAAUAAAACUUGGAUUGCUGAAAA